UCGGGAAUUUUGGGCAAUGGGCGCAAGCCUGAUCCAGCCAUGCCGCGUGGAUGAUGAAGGCCCUAGGGUUGUAAAAUCCUUUCGUCAGGGACGAUAAUGACGGUACCUGAAGAAGAAGCCCCGGCUAACUUCGUGCCAGCAGCCGCGGUAAUACGAAGGGGGCUAGCGUUGUUCGGAAUUACUGGGCGUAAAGCGCAUGUAGGCGGGUCGUUAAGUCGGGGGUGAAAGCCCAGAGCUCAACUCUGGAACUGCCUUCGAUACUGGCGACCUGGACCCAAGGAGAGGCGAGUGGAAUUGCGAGUGUAGAGGUGAAAUUCGUAGAUAUUCGCAGGAACACCAGUGGCGAAGGCGACUCGCUGGACUUGUGGUGACGCUGAGAUGCGAAAGCG
rnacentral:rRNA from 1 species